AUUAAACGCUGGCGGCAUGCCUUACACAUGCAAGUCGAACGGCAGCACGGGGGCAACCCUGGUGGCGAGUGGCGAACGGGUGAGUAAAGCAUCGGAACGUGCCCUGGAGUGGGGGAUAACGUAGCGAAAGUUACGCUAAUACCGCAUAUUCUGUGAGCAGGAAAGCAGGGGAUCGCAAGACCUUGCGCUUUGGGAGCGGCCGAUGUCGGAUUAGCUAGUUGGUGGGGUAAAGGCCUACCAAGGCGACGAUCCGUAGCGGGUCUGAGAGGAUGAUCCGCCACACUGGGACUGAGACACGGCCCAGACUCCUACGGGAGGCAGCAGUGGGGAAUUUUGGACAAUGGGCGCAAGCCUGAUCCAGCCAUGCCGCGUGAGUGAGG
rnacentral:rRNA from 1 species